GUGAGGAAUUUUCCGCAAUGGGCGAAAGCCUGACGGAGCAAUGCCGCGUGAAGGAUGAAGGCCUAUGGGUUGUAAACUUCUUUUCUCAGAAAAGAAUUAUGACGGUAUCUGAGGAAUAAGCAUCGGCUAACUCUGUGCCAGCAGCCGCGGUAAGACAGAGGAUGCAAGCGUUAUCCGGAAUGAUUGGGCGUAAAGCGUCUGUAGGUUGUUUAAAAAGUAUUCUGUCAAAGAUUAGGGCUUAACCCUAGAUAGGAAGAAUAAACUUUUAAGCUAGAGUGUGGUAGAGGCAGAGGGAAUUCCCGGUGGAGCGGUGAAAUGCGUAGAUAUCGGGAGGAACACCAAAGGCGAAGGCACUCUGCUGGGCCAAUACUAACACUGAGAGACGAAAGCGAGGGGAGCAAAUGGGAUUAGAUACCCGUGUAGUCC
rnacentral:rRNA from 1 species